rnacentral:rRNA from 1 species
GUGGGGGAUAUUGGACAAUGGGGGCAACCCUGAUCCAGCGACGCCGCGUGAGGGAAGAAGGUUUUCGGAUUGUAAACCUCUGUUGACGGAGAAAAAAAUGAUGGUAUCCGUUUAGAAAGCCACGGCUAACUACGUGCCAGCAGCCGCGGUAAUACGUAGGUGGCAAGCGUUGUCCGGAAUUACUGGGUGUAAAGGGAGUGUAGGCGGGAUAUCAAGUCAGAAGUGAAAAUUACGGGCUCAACUCGUAACCUGCUUUUGAAACUGACAUUCUUGAGUGAAGUAGAGGCAAGCGGAAUUCCUAGUGUAGCGGUGAAAUGCGUAGAUAUUAGGAGGAACACCAGUGGCGAAGGCGGCUUGCUGGGCUUUUACUGACGCUGAGGCUCGAAAGCGUGGGGAGCAAACAGGA